rnacentral:lncRNA from 1 species
AUGGCUAAGGAGACCCACACACCAGUGAAGCCCAAAGAAAAUACGAAACAACCAAUUGUAAGCACGAAAAAGCCAACCCCAAGAACCAAAGAGAAGAAGGAAAAGAAGAACUCUUGUCAACAAAAGACCAACAAAACUGGCAAGGUGGAGAAGAAAAUCACAAAGGUAAAAAAACCCCUUCAAAGGAAUUCAAGAAAGAAAACUCAAUCACCUCCUUCCUGCUCCAAAAAGCCUAGGAUAACAAUGAGACCAACAAUAUUUGCGUGUCACCACAAGCAGAAUAAGACGCAAACUAAAACUCAGAAGAGCAAGCACAAAAUACAACGGAAAAUAAAAAUCACAAGAGCAAGCCCAGAAGCCAUUGGCAACAGCAAACCAUCCCAAGUAACCAUCUCUGCUGCCAGUAAAUGCAGAGCCUGGAUCAGAAAUGUACAACUAGCAACAGCAUCUCCAUAGGCAACUCUGGGGAAUCACCAAUCACAUAAAGGCCGAAUCUGAGACCAAUAGUGUUCCACCAUGUUGAUGAACGCAAUAAAAUCAGCACAAUGUGAAAAGAUGAUGUGGACUUUGUCUGUAGUGGGGAGGGGGUUAAGGAAGAAAAACUGGUAAGAGGGAGAGAGGCAGGCUCCUGCAUGGUUGGGGGCCAGACCAACAGGUAUACAGUUAGCCAUCGGGGGGGAUAAGGAGUGGGUGAGGACUAAGAAAUGAAGACUAAUGAACACUUUGCCCCCACAGACAAGAAGAAAAAGGGUUUUGGUGUUUCUACAUGUAUUUAGGGUAGGUGUGGGCAACAACAUCAAGGUCUGAAUUCCCAGAACCCAGUUAGGAAGAGGGUUUCAUGUGUGAUGUGUGUGGCAAUAACACACUGCACAAAAAGACACUAAAACCACCUCCAGUUCACCCGCGUCACAGUGGUGUCUGUUGUACCCCACACUAUGCUGUAAGCAAGUAAAGGCCCUCAGGAGGACCCAGAACUCAUCCUGUCAAGAGUCACUCCAGCAGCCUGAAAGACAAAUAGUGGAGUCUGGAGGCCACAAACCCAGCGCUAAUUAGGCCACUUUCUUGUUAAGUAGCUUAGGAUGGAGCAGUGGCCUACCAAGCGUGGGGGCAGUGGCAGAGGUCUGCCCACUUGCUGGCCAUAAAGAGAAACAUUGUCUGCGGAGAAUUUUUUUUUUUAAUUUUUUUUUUUUUUGAGAUGGAGUCUCGCUCUAUUGCCCAGGCUGGAGUGCAGUGGCUGGAUCUCAGCUCACUGCAAGCUCUGCCUCCCAGGUUUUACGCCAUUCUCCUGCCUCAGCCUCCCGAGUAGCUGGGACUACAGGUGCCCGCCACCACACCCGGCUAGUUUUUUUGUAUUUUUUUUAGUAGAGACGGGGUUUCACCAUGUUAGCCAGGAUAGUCUCGAUCUCCUGACCUCGUGAUCCGCCCGUCUCGGCCUCCCAAAGUGCUGGGAUUACAGGCUUGAGCCACCGCACCCUGCCGAGAAUUUUAAUAUAAGAAUAAUAAAACCCAGUAAAAGUCAGUCUUUUACUUAUUAGCAUCACAUACAAGUUUUCAACUUUUCUCCCCCCACAUCCUCUUUUGGUCUGAGCUGUAAAAGAUUGCUGUGGUUACAUUUAAGCUUGAAGAAAAUCUAUGUAAGGUGCGAAUUCGCUGAUUUUUAAUAUUUCUGUUUUAAUAAUCAUUUGAUUCUACAGGGAAGUUAAUUUGGAUAAAUCCUCAUUAAAUAGUUGGUCCAAGACAUAGGCUGUUCCCUUCUAAAGUAAGCUCUGAAUAAUUUGGAAAUGUUUUGAUGCGGGACAGGGAAGCCCCACACUUGGGGCUUAGGUGGGAGGUUCUUGGCUUCACUCAGGAAAGAAUUCAAGGGCAAGCUGGUGACGUUAAACAGCAAGUUUAAUUGAAGCAGAAGUGUGCGGAGCAGCAGAGGAACUGUUCCUGCUUCUUGCAGAGCAGGGCUGCCCCAUGGGCGGUGUCCCCAGAACAGCAGCUCAGAGGCAGUUCUGCACUCAUGCUGAUUCCCACUUUCAAUUAUAUUCACAUUAAGGAGCAAUUUAUGCAGCAAUUUCUAGGAUGAGGGUGG